AUUUGUUUACUAUCCAGUCUAGCUGAUCCAGUACACUGCGGAAAGUACCCAUAUGAUCGAGGACUUCUUCUGUUAUAGAAUUCAGGAUCUAUAUCAUAAAAGUGCAAGAGGAAAGAAGCCAUUGAUGACAACAUGAAUGGAAUCUUGCAGCACAGUGGUUCGAAACCUUUCUAGUAAAUCUCUUUUAGAACCCAAACCAAAAAGCACAAUGUUGAACCCCAGGCUGUUAGGAAAGAUAGCAUUCAUGAAAUUAAAGUUCAGUACCUCUUACUUAAUUUUUUAGAAUUAACUAGUUUAAGUUUAUAAAAAAUACAGAAAGAACUAGGAUGACUAAAGAACUACAUUGAUUCUCAACUUAUACAAGGUAAAAGCGCAAUUUUAUUAUUAUCUGUACACCAAACUUACAGGUCCAGCAUCAGUAACUUUCUCUCCAGCUCUUAUUAUCUUUCAGGUGAUGGAUGGCUGGAGGCAAGGGAGAACAACAGGAGGCACAAGGCACUAAACAGUUGUACAGGCUGAAGCUGAGUUUUAAUAGAUUAAAUAGGAAAAGUAAGCAGAGGCCAAAUCACAAAGGUCUUGUUAAGUCAACUAAGACAUUAGAUUUUAUUUAAAGGACAAUGACCAUUUAACAGUAACUAGUCAGGUGUUAACUGAAAGGUUUUAAGUAGGAAAGUAGCAUGAUAUUUUCACCCUGGCUGAAUAGGGCGAAUGCACAGAAGAAGGGGAAAACUGCCAAAGAUGAUGAGCUUGAAUUAGGUGUUAUGGAGAAAAAUAGAAGUUAUCAAGAGCUUUACAUGUCAAAUCAAUAGGAUUUGGAGAGUGAUUAGAUGUAGAAGGUGAGAGAAAGGGAAUAUUUCAAAAUAACUUGGUUUUUUUUGGCCUAGGCAACUAUGUGGAUGAAGUGACUUUCACUGUGCCAGGCUGCAGGGGCAGGUGGCAAUGAGGGGUUUAAGAGGAGUUAAAUUUUAUAUAUAUUGAAUUAUUUACAGGACAUCAACAUGGAAACCCUCCAAUAUACACUGAUGUACCUGUAUAUGCUGCUGAGGAGUGAGAUCUGGGCUGGCCUGGAGAAAUCAUGGGAGUUAUUCACAUGCAAAAAGCAACCAAAGCCCAGAGAGUGAAUGAGAAGAAUUAGAACACCAAGCACCUAGGGGUCAAGCUAAAACUCAACUCCAUGAUUGUUUAUAGAAGUCUAUCAGAAACAGUAUUUAUGUGAUGCUCUGUAGCAAUGCAGGGGAGCCUAGAAGAAAAG